rnacentral:rRNA from 1 species
UACGUAGGUGGCAAGCGUUGUCCGGAUUUACUGGGCGUAAAGAGCGCGCAGGCGGUCGUUCAAGUCGCGUGUGAAAGCCCCCGGCUCAACUGGGGAGGGUCACGCGAUACUGAUCGACUCGAAGGCAGGAGAGGGAAGUGGAAUUCCCGGUGUAGUGGUGAAAUGCGCAGAUAUCAGGAGGAACACCGGUGGCGAAGGCGGUGGUCUGGGCCGGCACUGACGCUGAGGAGCGAAAGCGUGGGGAGCGAACAGG